AGUAGUACCACAUUUUCUUCUUGAAAACUGUCAUUCCCUUGGCUCUGCCACUCAAGCUCUAAGAGCACACCUGAUUAUUGUUAGAUGAGAGAAACCCCCAAACCUGUGAGAGCAGGUGGCAGCUCCACACCGGGGAAGGCUUUAAAAGGAGGCAGGCCUGGAAUUGCUCACACAUGGUUUAGCUUGGAUUAACUCCCCGAGUGAGCUUAAGAGGAGGUUUUUCUGGCUUGUGCUGUGGUUGCUUCUGUCGUGUUUCCUAGGGAGGAGCAGUGGGCGCUGUAAGUACAUACACCAGAAUCCUACUCCCUUGAAGAGGGGGUAAGGAGGUUUUGUGAGCUCUGAGUUGGUGGUGGGGUGAAAACAUAAAUAUUCAGAGAGAAUAUACAAACCUAUAGUAAGGUAAGUGAGUCCUGUUUAGCUGUCCUUUAGCGUCAAAAUGUUGUUCUCUGUGCUGGUUAAUGAGGUAAAUCAGGAAGAGCAUAAAAGUGAUAUGAGACCAAGGUCAGUUUCACUUUAUCCAUCCACAAUACACAGUUCCUGGGCUCCUCUUCCUUUUGUGCCUACUUUUUGUGUUGCUUUUAAUCUAGUGGAAGGCUGUAUCUGUCACAUGGAUAUCAGAGACCCACUGGGCUGAGAGACUCCACAAACAUGGCAUGAGCUCUCAAUGAAUUGCAAACACUCUUAUUUCCACUAGGAUUUCAUGGUGUUCUUGCAAGACUGGGCUCCAACUGGGGUGUCUGGGCUCAAUGCCAUUAGGGGAAAUACUACAUCUCCUAGUUAAGGUCUGGCUGAAGUUUCUUUGUUACUCUCUGUUCUAUAGGCUGUGUACCAUGAGCUGCUAAGCUCAUACUGUGUUCCACCUCAGGAAUAGUUACAGCAGGAAACAAAAUAUUUAUGAAAAAGGUCUAUAAUACAUAAAUGUGAUAUAGUGGCCAAAACCAUACAGGUUAAAACAUUAUCUCUAACUGCUCUCUGCUAUGCCUUAGAUACCAAAUGACACAGAGCCUUCUUUUGGAACAGUGAUGUUCAAGGUGCCUGAUAAUGGACUUCCAAACAGUUGAAAAUGUUGGUUAUGGAGAGCAGAAACUCCUUCUAGAAGUAGUUUGUUUGGUGGAACUUUGUUCCAGUGUAAACUAGAAUGGACUAUUCAGUGCCCAGCUCCACCUGUGAAAACCCCCUUGCAGCCCUGUGCAAUACCCAGAUACUGGAGGGCAGAAUAAGCUUCAUUUCCUUCCAUGUUGUGUUCCCUUUUACUGUUAGGAGUAAUGACUCUAAAUUACAGCCUUAUUUUUUUUACAUUAUUAUUGCCCCUCCUUCAAAACCAAGCCUUUGCCAGGCCUUUUGGUCCUUGGAUCGUGCGAUUUCACCAGCUCUUAUCUCCCUCCUUUGAGCCGCAGUUUUUCCCCGCUCAUCUUUGUAAUCUGACAUUGUGAUUUGUUCACUUGUGUGCUUGUUUUUCUCCCCGAAGAAGAUUUGCUGAAUCAUCGGGGAGGAGGCAAGAGCUCUAGAGGCAGCUGGUGGCCAGUGAUAAAACCCUGGCCACAUCCAGCCUUCAGGGUUUGCAGAUGACAGCCCUUCAGUUGAAGGCCUGAGUCACAUUCCCUUCUGAGCUAAGAUUGCUGGGGACUUUGGGAUUGAGGAAGUGGGGCCGAGGAGCUGGUGCACCAAAAAUAUAAAUUAUUGAUCCUGACAACCACAAGGUUCGUGUUGUAUCUCCUGCAACAUUUAUAAUGAUGCUGUGAGAGAACAUUCAGACUAGGGGCUAAAUCCUGCCGACUGUUGUACAUUGUGUCCCUUUCAGUGGGAACGCACGGUUAAGAAGAGAGAGAUUUGGGCUGAAAUAGGUGAAGAGACAAUUCAGAGCACAGAACAUCGUAUUUGGGACAGGUGACCGAAGGAUUGUGCCAAGCUGAAUCAGGAACCCAAUUUACCGUUUUCUACCUUGGAAGUUUAACGUCCGUGAUUCCUACUGGCAUCUGAGGACUAUUCACACGGACUGAAGAGUUUGAUCAGGAGUUUGAAGAGUUUGAUCAGGAGUUUGCCGAGUGCCCUGGGUGCAUCCUCUCCCAAUUGUCCCUCCUUGGGGAUGAGAAACGCCGAGACCCCACCAGCCUGGGGACCAACGUUGAGUUGAAAACCUGUUGGUGUGACAAACACAACCGGAGGCUGGAGAACCUGCCUGGAGGGUAACUUCCACUCUUCUUCCCUAAACUCUGGAUUUUCCACAAGGAAAAACAAACCCUAUCUAGAAGGAAGGAUGAAAUGUUUUACAUGGUAUACUUGUUGCACUUUAGCAAAGGAAAUAGCCCCUGACCAUGGUGUGCACGAAGCGCUACGGGGUCCAAAGUAGGAAGAAUGGAAGGAGCUUUGCAUAUUCAUCAA